CCUACGGGAGGCAGCAGUGAGGAAUAUUGGGCAAUGGGCGCGAGCCUGAACCAGCCAAGUAGCGUGAAGGAUGAAUGCCCUACGGGUUGUAAACUUCUUUUAUAAAGGAGUAAAGUGAGGCACGAGUGCCUUUUUGUAUGUACUUUAUGAAUAAGGAUCGGCUAACUCCGGGCCAGCAGCCGCGGUAAUACGGAGGAUCCGCGCGUUAUCCGGAUUUAAUGGGUGUAAAGGGUGGGUAGACGGGAAGUCAAGUGGGAUGUGAAGUCCCCCGGCUUAACCUGGGAACUGCAACCAAAACUAACUUUCUUGAGUGCUGGAGAGGAAAGUGGAAUUCCUAGUGUAGCGGUGAAAUGCGUAGAUAUUAGGAGGAACACCAGUGGCGAAGGCGACUUUCUGGACAGUAACUGACGUUGAGGCACGAAAGUGUGGGGAGCAAACAGGAUUAGAUACCCUUGUAGUC
rnacentral:rRNA from 1 species